rnacentral:rRNA from 1 species
UACGUAGGGUGCGAGCGUUAAUCGGAAUUACUGGGCGUAAAGGGAGCGUAGGCGGAUAGUUUAGUCAGAGGUGAAAGCCCAGGGCUCAACCUUGGAACUGCCUUUGAUACUGGCUAUCUUGAGUAUGGGAGAGGUGAGUGGAACUCCGAGUGUAGAGGUGAAAUUCGUAGAUAUUCGGAAGAACACCAGUGGCGAAGGCGACUCACUGGCCCAUUACUGACGCUGAGGCUCGAAAGCGUGGGGAGCAAACAGGAUUAGAUACCCUUGUAGU